rnacentral:rRNA from 1 species
UGGUGGAGUGAUUUGUCUGCUUAAUUGCGAUAACGAACGAGACCUUAACCUGCUAAAUAGCCAGGCUUACUUUUGUAGGUCGCAGGCUUCUUAGAGGGACUAUCGGGUUCUAAACCGAUGGAAGUUUGAGGCAAUAACA